rnacentral:rRNA from 1 species
CCGCGGUAAUACCGGCAGCACGAGUGAUGGCCGCUCUUAUUGGGCUAAAGCGUCCGUAGCUGGCCAGGCAAGUCCAUCGGGAAAUCUCCCCGCCUAACGGGGAGGCGUCCGGUGGAAACUGCCUGGCUUGGGACCGGAAGACCAGAGGGGUACGUCCGGGGUAGGAGUGAAAUCCCGUAAUCCUGGACGGACCACCGGUGGCGAAAGCGCCUCUGGAAGACGGAUCCGACGGUGAGGGACGAAAGCUCGGGUCACGAACCGGAUUAGAUACCCGGGUAGUCCGAGCUGUAAACGAUGUCUGCUAGGUGUGCCACAGGCUACGAGCCUGUGGUGUGCCGCAGGGAAGCCGUGAAGCAGACCGCCUGGGAAGUACGUCCGCAAGGAUGAAACUUAAAGGAAUUGGCGGGGGAGCACUACAACCGGAGGAGCCUGCGGUUUAAUUGGACUCAACGCCGGACAUCUCACCAGCAUCGACAGUAGGAGUGACGGUCAGUGUGAUGAGCUUACCAGACCUACUGAGAGGAGGUGCAUGGCCGCCGUCAGCUCGUACCGUGAGGCGUCCUGUUAAGUCAGGCAACGAGCGAGACCCGCACUCCUAAUUGCCAGCAACACCCUUGUGGUGGUUGGGUACAUUAGGAGGACUGCCAGUGCCAAACUGGAGGAAGGAACGGGCAACGGUAGGUCAGUAUGCCCCGAAUGUGCUGGGCAACACGCGGGCUACAAUGGUCGAGACAGUGGGAUGCAACCCCGAAAGGGGGCGCUAAUCUCCGAAACUCGAUCGUAGUUCGGAUUGCGGACUGAAACUCGUCCGCAUGAAGCUGGAUUCGGUAGUAAUCGCCGUUCAGAAGACGGCGGUGAAUACGUCCCUGCUCCUUGCACACACCGCCCGUCAAAGCCACCCGAGUGAGGUCCGGAUGAGGCCCCCAUACGGGGGUCGAAU